CUCAGAUUGAACGCUGGCGGCAUGCUUUACACAUGCAAGUCGAGCGGCAGCGCGGGGCAACCCUGGCGGCGAGCGGCGAACGGGUGAGUAAUGCAUCGGAACGUACCCUGGAGUGGGGGAUAACGCCGCGAAAGCGGCGCUAAUACCGCAUAUGCUCUGAGGAGGAAAGUGGGGACCGCAAGGCCUCACGCUCUGGGAGCGGCCGAUGUCCGAUUAGCUAGUUGGUGGGGUAAAGGCUUACCAAGGCGACGAUCGGUAGCUGGUCUGAGAGGAUGAUCAGCCACACUGGGACUGAGACACGGCCCAGACUCCUACGGGAGGCAGCAGUGGGGAAUUUUGGACAAUGGGGGCAACCCUGAUCCAGCCAUGCCGCGUGAGUGAAGAAGGCCUUCGGGUUGUAAAGCUCUUUUGGUCGGGAAGAAAGCGCCUUGCCUAAUACGCGAGGUGGUUGACGGUACCGGCAGAAUAAGCACCGGCUAACUACGUG
rnacentral:rRNA from 1 species